rnacentral:rRNA from 1 species
AACCGGCGAUGUCCGAAUGGGGAAACCCAGUGCAAUUCGUUGCACUAUCGUUAACUGAAUACAUAGGUUAACGAGGCGAACCGGGGGAACUGAAACAUCUAAGUACCCCGAGGAAAAGAAAUCAACCGAGAUUCCCCCAGUAGCGGCGAGCGAACGGGGAGCAGCCCAGAGUCUGAAUCAGCUUGUGUGUUAGUGGAACGGUCUGGAAAGUCCGACGGUACAGGGUGAUAGUCCCGUACACCAAAAUGCACAGGCUGUGAACUCGAAGAGUAGGGCGGGACACGUGGUAUCCUGUCUGAAUAUGGGGGGACCAUCCUCCAAGGCUAAAUACUCCUGACUGACCGAUAGUGAACCAGUACCGUGAGGGAAAGGCGAAAAGAACCCCGGCGAGGGGAGUGAAAAAGAACCUGAAACCGUGUACGUACAAGCAGUGGGAGCACCUUCGGGUGUGACUGCGUACCUUUUGUAUAAUGGGUCAGCGACUUAUAUUCUGUAGCAAGGUUAACCGUAUAGGGGAGCCGCAGGGAAACCGAGUCUUAACUGGGCGUUAAGUUGCAGGGUAUAGACCCGAAACCCGGUGAUCUAGCCAUGGGCAGGUUGAAGGUUGGGUAACACUAACUGGAGGACCGAACCGACUAAUGUUGAAAAAUUAGCGGAUGACUUGUGGCUGGGGGUGAAAGGCCAAUCAAACCGGGAGAUAGCUGGUUCUCCCCGAAAGCUAUUUAGGUAGCGCCUCGUGAACUCAUCUUCGGGGGUAGAGCACUGUUUCGGCUAGGGGGUCAUCCCGACUUACCAACCCGAUGCAAACUACGAAUACCGAAGAAUGUUAUCACGGGAGACACACGGCGGGUGCUAACGUCCGUCGUGAAGAGGGAAACAACCCAGACCGCCAGCUAAGGUCCCAAAGUCAUGGUUAAGUGGGAAACGAUGUGGGAAGGCACAGACAGCCAGGAUGUUGGCUUAGAAGCAGCCAUCAUUUAAAGAAAGCGUAAUAGCUCACUGGUCGAGUCGGCCUGCGCGGAAGAUGUAACGGGGCUAAACCAUGCACCGAAGCUGCGGCAGCGACACUAUGUGUUGUUGGGUAGGGGAGCG